AGAGGAACCUGUCCUGUAAUCGAUAAUCCACGGGAAUUUGACCUGAGUUUGUAUAUCAGCUUGUAUAUCGCUGUCGUAAGAUUAUUUUAGAAGAAAUUUUUCAAUAAUAAUAGUUUAUUUAUGUCAAGUCAAGGUGCAGUAAAUGUUUAGGGUUGAAAUGGGUUACAACAUAGGUAUAUACAUGAAUAUAAAUUUGUAAUAUUUAUUGAAGGUGGAUUUAAUUGUAAUAUUAAGUUAGGUAUUUAGUAUGAAAAAGUUCUAAUAUAUGU
rnacentral:rRNA from 1 species